rnacentral:lncRNA from 10 species
GUGCAAAACUGCACAGGGCCUAUCAUCCUAGGGUAAUUUAGAAAUACGUGCAUAUAAAAUUAUCCCUAUCUUGAUGUUUCUGUUUGGGUUGUUACCUCUGUUCCCUGAUCUUCAUAUCUACACCAACAUUUUAACAAUGUAGAAUUCCGGUACAUGUGCAUUUCACUUCUAAUUUACAUACACUCCAAAGAAUUUUCCAAAAAUGUUCUCAUUGCAUAUUUUGCUUAUGUAUAUACACUCUUCAGCGUGCAUGCCCUCCACUCCCAUGCCUUAGCCACACCUCAUCCCUAGUGGACAGGAACCCAUUUCCACGCCCAGCUGUUAUCUAUACUUUAUCCUGCACAGGUUGUACACACAAACCCUGCUUACUGCAUUUUGUGCAUGAUUUAUGGGAUUUUCAAGAGUAAUUCUGACCACGCCCAGUUCUUUUUAAGUGCACUGAUUGAGAACUCAAGGUAAUUCUUGGGGAGAUAGGGCAAGAAGACCAGAAACCAGGAAGAAGGCAGGAAAAAGACAAGAUCUGGGUCUGCGUGGGACUUCCAUUCUAGGAAGUGGGAGUUUUCAGCUGAGCAUAGCAAGGAUUUGAAUCUGGGCUUGCGAGGUCCAGAGGCAUUUGCAUACUUCCCUAGCGUUGAUGAAUUGAGCUAACUCACACACACCAGGUAUCCACACAUCUUGGAACCAGAUAGUAGAUGGGAAAACAUGGAAACACGGCAUAAACACAGGAAACAAUGAGAGGUUAACAGUGUAUUUUUUGCUUGUUAUCUGUGUGACCUAAAGCAUGUAUUGAACCUCUCUGAUAUCACUUUGCUUGGGUCAUGUAAUGGGCCCAUUAUAGUGGGUUCCUUAUGUGGUUGUGGUGUUCAUGGAGAUUAGAAAUAGCAAUAACACCCACCAUUUAUUGGGCAUUAAAAAAAUAUAUAUAUAUAUAAUAUAUUAAUAUAUAUGUGUAUAUAUAUAUAUUAUAUAUAUUUUUUAUAUAUAUGUAUAUUUUGAGACAGGGUCUCACUCUGUUUCCCAGGCAGGAGUGCAGUGGUGUGAUCUCAGCUCGCUGCAGUCUCCAACUCCUGGGUUCAAGUGAUUCUAGAGGCAUGUAUUAUAUUUCAGGGUAAAUUCCUACCCAGGGGAACCUUUUCUUCCUACCCCACCCUGGCGUUUCUGGCUCCUCCACUCUGGGAAGGCACAGAAGCUCUUGGACCUGUUCUUCCCUACCCACCCAGGUGCGCUUGGUGCUGUGUGCACAGUAGGUGCUCGGUCAAUAUUUGUCCAGGGCAUAACACGCCUUCCAGCAGUGUGGCUCCAGCUCCGAGGGCAUAUUCAUCAUCGGGGGAUCUUGUUAGAAUCAAGGGUCCAGUUCAGUAGGUCUGGAGUGGGGCCCAGGAGUCUAAGUGUCUGAGAAGCUUCCAGGUAUUGUGAUGCUGCAGGUAGGUGGGCCGUGCUUUGGGGUUCAAGAGUGUGUGAAUGGGACAGCUGCGACCUGGGGCGUCAACAGAGGGAGGGGCUGGUUGAAACAGGGAGGGGCUUCAUUGAGGAGGAGACCCUGAUAUUUAAGUAAUGGAAUUUGUCUCCCCCACCCCCACCCCCACCCCCACCAUCCCUUCAUCCCUGCUGCCAUUAUUUCUCAGCCACGUUAUUUUUUUUUUUUGAGACACAGUCUCGCUCUGUCGCCCAGCCUGGAGUGCCAUGGCGCGAUCUUGGCUCACUGCAACCUCUGCCUCCUGCGUUCAAGUGAUUAUCCCGUCUCAGCCUCCGGAGUAGCUGGGAUUACAGGCAUACACCACCACACCCGGCUAAUUUUUGUAUUUUUGGUAGAGACGGGGUUUCACCGUGUUGGCCAGGCUGGUCUCGAACUCCUGACCCCAAGUGACCCACCUGCCAUGGUCCCCCAAAGUGCUGGGAUUGCAGGCGUGAACCACCGCGCCUGGCCUCUCAGCCACAUUAUUGAUCUGCUCAUCAUGUCCUCCUUCCCCCCGAUCAUUGUCCCCAAGCUAACCUGAGCUUCCUAAAGCCCACAGAGAGCUUGCCAUGGCCUCGGGAACACUCAGACUCUUGCCUACUCCUCCAGCCUGGCGCUAAAGAGGCACCCCCCACAAAAAAUUUGCUGAAUAAAGGACUGAGUGAUGUCAUUGGGCCACAAUUGACUCCUGGGGCUCUCUUGUCCCUUCAACUCCACCUCUCAUCUGCAUGUGUGAACCUCCCAGUUGGACUGGAAAAAGGUUUAGCUCCUCUCUUUAUCCUGCAAGGAAGCUCUGCAGGAAACUCUCCAAGAGGACAAUAAGCCCCCUUGCCUUUGCAAAAACAUUUUAAUACCUGUUAUUUUCAGCUGAGUCCCGCACAGAUCGGCAGCACCGGUUUUGAAGGCCACGUGUACUCCAGAUUCUUGUCACCAACGGUACCACUGCUCCGCCUUGAAUGCUGUCUCCCCUGAGCUGUGAGUCCCAGGGCAGAUGCUACCCUUCUCACCCUGUGUCCCAGCUCCAGUCACACCCACUGGUCCAAUGUGGGCUGGCACAGAAGACUGCAGGCCUGGGGGUGCCCAGCACUGGGACUGGAGAUCAGAACACCUGACUUCAAAGUCUGGUUUGAGCACUUUCUAGCUGUGUGCCCUUGGGACACCCCGCUUGACUGAGAAUUAUAGUGGAGAUCAACCCAACGGCCUCAAAUUCCAGGGACCUGCAGAUGGAUACUAGUGUCCUUCAAUAUCAAGAUUCUGGAAUUCUUGCCUCCUUAUUUAUUCAAAUGGAUUAACUGAGAACCUACUGUGUGCAGACAGCAUUCUCAGUGCUGGGAUACAAGCAUGAACAAGACAAGGCAAGGAGACUGGUCCUUUGCCCAGAUCCCACAGCCAGAGAGGGGCGAGGCAGGAUGGAAACCCUGGUCUGUGUCCCUCGGAGCCUGGGCCCUGGGAUGUGUGAGUCUCUUCUGGCUUCUGUAACAAAUGACCACUAACUGGCUAGAGACAGCACAACUGUAGCAUCUUACAGUUCCGGAGCUCAGGAGUCGGAAACGGGCCUUGCCUGGCUAAAAUCAAGGUGUCAGCCGGAAGGCGCUCUCCCUGGAGGCUCUAGGGGAGAAAGUUGUUUCUUGCCUUUUCCAGCUUUUAGAGGCUGCCUGCAUUCCUUGGCUCAUAGCCGCCUCUUCCAUGUUCAAGGCCAGCAAUGGAGCAUCCUUAAAUCUCCCUUUCUGACUCUGGCCGUCCUGUCUCCCUCUUAUGAGGACCCUUGUGAUGACACUGGCUCCUCCAGAUCAGCCAGGAUCACCUCCCCACUUGGAGAUCCUUGACUUCCUCACAUCUGUAAAGUCCCUUCUGCCGUGUGACAUAUAAGGAGGCCAAGAUGCGUCUGAUCUUUAAAAGACUAAAGCCCCCCAAACAAGUCUGAGGAGACUCCUGGCUUGUUUUUAUUUUGGCCAGGAAAGUUUUCCAAUAUCCCUGGCCUUCAGGCUUGUCCCCUAGGAGGAUGGAGGGACUGAGCUGGGGAGAUGUCUGUGAAUGGGGGUGGGGUGGAUUCACAGGUUUCAGGGGUUAGAACGCCAGUGUCUUUGGGACCCAUUAUUCUGCCUUCCACUGCGUGGAUGAUGGGAAAGCUCCUGGUUCCAGGGCGCAAACUUAGCCUGGCUCUUUGGCCUCUCUGUGCCUCAGUUUAUAUAAUGAGGGUGAGGAGAAUAUCUGUUGGGGUUGUUGAAGUAGUGAAGGAGUUGGUAAUUGAAAAGUGCUAAGCAUAUGCCAGGCACUGUGGACACAUGCGCUGUACCUUUUGGGAGGGCACAUCCCUCCCCCACCUGCUACCACCCCACCCAGGCUGGCAUGCAGUGGUGCAAUCACAGCUCACUGCAGCCUUGACUUUCCGGGGCUUAAGUCAUCCUCCCACCUCAGCCUCCGGAGUAGCUGGGACCACAGGUGCACACCAUUACACCCAGCUAAUUUUUAAAUUUUUUGUAGAGACGGGGUUUUGCCAUGUUGUCUAGGCUGGAAGUCCAUCUGACAUUGAAGUUCUCUUUCAGUUUUGACAUCUGAUCCAUCUAGGGCUGUGUGUGUGUGACAGUGUGUGUGUGAUUGUGUGUGUGUGUAUGAUUGUGUGUGUGUAUGAUUGUGUGUGUGUGUAUGUGUGCACAUGUCUUUAUGGGGAUUGAGGGUGGGUGGAACAGAGACUGGGAGAGACACUUUGUGAAAUGUUUAUAUUUUAUGCCUUUUGAUGUAAUUCCAACUAGAUCUUAAAUCAUGCAGCAGGAAGCUCCUUAAAAUUUUUAAUUUGUUGUUUUUCUUAGAAAUGAUUAUUUCCACAUUGCGCCCAGAGACACUCGUGCCUCGUCCUGCCUCCCAUCCUUGUGCUGUUCUAAAAGGUCCCCAGGCGGUGGUUGUUUACUGCUGCCAAUCAGGUGGGCUUUGCACAAACCAUGCUUUGGGCCCACCCUGUCGUUCUGUGAAGCUGUAAUAUCUUUGGGAAGAUUUUUAUAGCUUGUCCCACAUAGGCUGGGGCUGGGAUAUUUAGAAGAAGGCCAACCUGUAGAUUCCUUGCUAAAAACCACAUGGUAUUUUACAAGACGGGUUGAGAGGGAGAGCUGGGGCUGGGUGUGGGGCGGCAUAGAGCUGGAUUCUUGGGGAAU